rfam:Rattus norvegicus chromosome X, whole genome shotgun sequence.
GGGGAUUUAGCUCAGUGGUAGGGCGCUUGCCUAGCAAGCGCAAGGCCCUGGGUUCGGUCCCCAGCUCCA